CAAAACUGACUUUUUGUCCACCUGGUGAAACCCAUAAACUCUUGAUGUUCACAGAGAGGCUGUAGCAUCCCGAAUGACAGUCAGCAAAUCAACCCAGACUCCACUUGAGACCCAAAUCACGAAAAGGACUGAAUCCAUGGGCUCCUAAGAGUUACUUUUCAGCCAGAUCAGUUCCCUGAGGUAAUCCUGAGUAGCUCCACGGUGGCUGGGCCAGGACACCGCUGGAAUGGUAACAGGCAGCUCAUUUCCUCUGCACUUCAAGCGAACCUGUUCUCUUCUGUGGAAACUUCUUUGGAAAUGUACAUCUUGACAUCUGUAGAGAGUGUGUUUCAGCUGUGUAUUUUGCAUUCCACUUGUGCAGAUAUUAAGGGAAUGCCCUUUGCGAUAGCAAAUACACACAUUUUACUGUGGCAACUUUUUGAUAAAAGACUGAGAAGUGAGACCGUCUUUCAUUUUGUGGCUAAUCUUUCCAAGAUUUUUCCCCACACACUUGCAAAAUUGUGACCUUGAUGUUUCUUUGCCUACUAGCUGGCGUGAUUUGCCAUUGCUAUUACAGCUUUGAUCAAG